AACCAUAAAAGGACAUGGAUGAAAAGGAAAAAAAAAAAACCCUUCCUGUUGAUGAAAGGUCAAAUUAGAUGUAUUCAUGUGGACUACACACUAUAAAAAAAUAAAAUUUACCUCAACUAAAGAUUAAAAGAAAAAGCAACAAUAAGAACAAUCACUGAAAUCAAAAGUUAAACGUCUUCGUCUACUAGGAUCUGGUCUUUAAACCUAAAAUAAACUUCACUUCCUGUUGAUGAAAGGUGAAAUUAGACAUGUUCAUGUGGACUACACAAAAAAAUAAAAUUAACCUCAAUCAAAGAUUACAAGAAAAAGCUAUAAGAACAAUCUCUGAAAUCAAAAGUGAAACGUCUUCGUCUACUAGGAUCUGGUCUUUAAACCUAAAAUAAACUUCACUUCCUGUUGAUGAAAGGUCUUUCAUUCAAAUUAGACAUGUUCAUGUGGAUUACACAAAAAAAAUAAAAUUAACCUCAAUCAAAGAUUACAAGAAAAAGCAACAAGGACAAUCACUGAAAUCAAAAGUGGAACGUCUUUGUCGACUAGAAUCUGGUCUUUAAACCUAAAAAAAAAACAAUCUGAGAUUCAUUAGCAUUUAUUCUUCAUGGAUAUAUUCCUAUUGGAUCUGUAGUCUGCAACGAUAAAAGGACAUGGAAGAAGAGAAAAAAACACUUUCUGUUGAUGAAACGUCAAAUUAGACUUGUUCAUGUGGACUACACGCAACUGAAAAAUUACCUCAAUUAAAGAUUAAAAGAAAACGCAACAAGAAUAACCACUGAAAUCAAAAGUGGAACGUCUUCGUCUACUAGGAUCUGGUCUUUAAACCUAAAAUAAACUUCACUUCCUGUUGAUGAAAGGUCAAAUUAGAUGUAUAAAUGUGGACUACACAAUAUAAAAAAUAAAAUUAACCUCAAUUAAAGAUUACAAGAAAAAGCAAUAAGAACAAUCAAUGAAAUCAAAAGUUAAACGUCUUCGUCGACUAGGAUCUGGUCUUUAAACCUAAAAUAAACUUCACUUCCUGUUGAUGAAAGGUCUUUCAUUCAAAUUAGACGUGUUCGUGUGGACUACACAAAAA